UACGUAGGGGGCAAGCGUCGUCCGGAUUUAUUGGGCGUAAAGAGCGUGUAGGCGGCCAGGUAGGUCCGCUGUGAAAACUCGAGGCUCAACCUCGAGAUGUCGGCGGAAACCAUCUGGCUAGAGUCCGGAAGAGGAGAGUGGAAUUCCUGGUGUAGCGGUGAAAUGCGUAGAUAUCUGGAGGAACACCGGUGGCGAAGGCGGCAUCCUGGACCGAUACUGACGCUGAGGAGCGAAAGCCAGGGGAGCAAACGGG
rnacentral:rRNA from 1 species